CUGACAGAAGAGAGUGAGCACACAGCGGCAAUUGCACCGAUCCGAUGCCGUUUCUGUUGCGUGCUCAUUUCUCUUUCUGUCAG
rnacentral:pre_miRNA from 1 species